rfam:Bacillus sp. FJAT-22058 super1, whole genome shotgun sequence.
AAAGUAAUAAGCGUAAUUACUCGUAUAUGCUCGGAAAUAUGGUCUGAGCGUUUCUACCUGGUUCCCAGUUAAAGAACUAGACUACGAGUUAAAGUAUUCGGCCG